rnacentral:rRNA from 1 species
GACGAACGCUGGCGGCGUGCUUAACACAUGCAAGUCGAACGGCAAGGCCCUGCUUUUGUGGGGUGCUCGGGUGGCGAACGGGUGCGUAACACGUGAGUAACCUGCCCUUGACUUUGGGAUAACUUCAGGAAACUGGGGCUACUACCGGAUAGGAGCUCACGCUGCGUGGUGGGGGUUGGAACGUUUCGGCGGUUGGGGAUGGACGCGCGGCUUACCAGUUUGUUGGUGGGGUAGUGGCUUACCAAGGAUUUGACGGGUAGCCGGCCUGAGAGGGUGAACGGCCACAUGGGGACUGAGAGAGGGCGCAGACUCCUACGGGAGGCAGAAGGGGGGAAUAUUGCACAAUGGGCGGAAGCCUGAUGCAACAACGCCGCGUGCGGGAUGACGUCCUGCGGGUUAUAAACCGCUUUCGCCUGUGACGAAGCGUGAGUGACGGUAAUGGGUAAAGAAGCACCGGCUAACUACGUG